rnacentral:lncRNA from 1 species
AACUUUGUUUUUUUCCUUUAGGUCCUUUCAGUAACUUCCUGAAGUCAAUGAGAGCACACCCUGCUCUGAUUGGUCUGAAGGAUUUCGCCUGGAGCUUUCUGUUCCACACUAUCUGUUUGUACUUCUUGGUUAAUUAACCAUCAUCCCAGUUCUCCUCCUCUGGGCAAAGGAGGGAAUUUUCGUCUCUCCGUGCAGGUGAAAUGUUCCCACAGCCUCAGAUCUGACAUGCAAGAGAGAAGUGGUGGACUAGACUGGUUGCUUCAUCCAAACUACAGUGACUUCCAUCUGGAGGAUGGUGAGGAGAAGAGAAAGAAAGGAGCAUGUCUUUCUGUGUCAUUUAACGCUAGUAUGUCCCUAUACAGAACUGGUUUCUUAAUCGAUAAAUAAUUCAUGAAAAUGAGCAACCACUUUUCUGGAAGACAAAGGUAGGAUUCUCCUGUUUCUGUCUUCUUGGUGGACUUUGAGAUGC